AGCAGUAGCCGCGGUAAUACGUAGGUGGCAAGCGUUGUCCGGAAUUAUUGAGCGUAAAGGGCUCGCAGGCGGUUUCUUAAGUCUGAUGUGAAAGCCCCCGGCUCAACCGGGGAGGGUCAUUGGAAACUGGGAAACUUGAGUGCAGAAGAGGAGAGUGGAAUUCCACGUGUAGCGGUGAAAUGCGUAGAUAUCGGAAGGAACACCUGUGGCGAAAGCGGCUCACUGGACCAUUUCUGACGCUGAUGCACGAAAGCUAGGGGAGCAAACAGGAUUAGAUACCCCAGUGUCCCUGUCUCUUAUACC
rnacentral:rRNA from 1 species